GAUGAACGCUGGCGGCGUGCCUAAUACAUGCAAGUAGAGCGAAGAGACGAGGAGUUUGCUCCCCUGAUGUUUGCGGCGGACGGGUGAGUAACACGGGGAUAACCUCUCUAUAAGAGUGGGAUCACUUCGGGAAACUGGAGCUAAUCCCGGAAAAGCUAUUGAUCCGUAUGGAUUAAUAGUGAAAGACGGUUUUGCUGUUACUUAUAGAAGGAUCCGGGCCUUAUUAGCUUGUUGGGAUGGUAACGGCUUACCAAGGCAACAUUGAGUAGCCGACCUGAGAGGGGGAUCGGCCAACCUGGAACUGAGCACCGGCCAAAACCCCUACGGAAGGAACCAGUAGGGAAUCUUCCGCAUUGGGCGAAAGCUUGACGAGGCAACGCGGCGGGAGGGAUGAGGGUCUUCGGAUCGUAAACCUCUGUUAUAAGGGAAGAACAAUUGUGUAAGUAAAUAUGCACGUCUUGACGGUACCUAAUCAGAAAGCCACGGCUAACUACGUG
rnacentral:rRNA from 1 species